UGUGGAGGAUGCCACCAGGCCAGACUGCAACUUCCCUGCGUGACUCCCCCGUGCUGGGCCUCUGUUUCCCCUUCUGUCAAAUGGGGAGUCACAGCGUCCAUCCUGCAGGGCAGAAAUAGGGUCUUGCUGCCACCCCUGAGUGCAGUAGUCCAAUCACAGCUCAUUGCAGCCUCCAACUCCUGGGCUCAAGUGAUCCUCCCGCCUCUGCCUCCACCUCCCCAGGAGCUGGAACUACAAGACCCAAUAUUGGUCCCUGAUCUGAUGAUGUUCACGGUCAAGACGGAAGCAAAAAAAGCACACACCAUGCGCCCUCGGUCACUAAUCACGCGGAGUAUACGCGAGGAGGGCCCGCAGCUAAGCGACGGCCGGCGGCCGAGCUUCCUCCACGGCCGGGGAGAUGGGCGAGGCCUCCGGGCCGCAGCCCCGGGUACGAGCGGAGGCUCCGAGGCCCCCGGUAGCCAGUCAGAAUUUAUUUUAAGGGAAAUGGAAAGCUGCGGCAGGCUUUGGGAGGAGGGGCAGGAUUAAAAGAGAAAGUG